rnacentral:tRNA from 1 species
ACCAGGCUGGCUCAGUUGGUAGAUCAUGUGACUCAUGAUCUCAGGGUCAUGAGUUUGAGCCCCAUGUUGGGUA